UGUAUUCUUAACAAUUAGCGCUUUCGUUUGUAGUUAGAUAAGGAGCAGAAAAUAAUUUCUUAAGUCGGACAUGAAUGCUUGUUUCUCAUUAUAUGAAUCACUCGGGAAUUAGUAUAAGUCAGUAGAAGUUACCAAGGUAACUGCAGUGUGGUAGAUUUACAGGACGUAGCCUAUGGCGGUCAGCUGUGUGACACGUUUGAGCUUUUAAGGAUCCAUCUGGACGCUGAAUAUGGUCCGGCCUUACGCCGAGUCACCCCGGCAGAAGCACAGGCAUGUUCUAGGCUCCCAUGGCUGCCAGGAGGUUUACGGAGGGAUGCGUGAUGCGGAUGUGUACAGCCCUCGCUUCAGGGAGCACAGGGAGUCGCCCUGUAGGAGGGAGCACCCAGGAUACCUGCCUUUCCACGCUACUCGGAGGCCGGCACACAUGGAUAGGCAGCGAGCCCCCGCUGAGCAUGCUCGCUGGGGGCCGCGGUCACACAGCCCCGCCCACAGAUACCCUGUCUCACCGGGAUACCAACGUGAGCACAGAAGGCAGUCCCACCCAGAGCUGUGGUCAGGUCGCCGCUCCCCCCAGCGCCCCCCUGUUCCUGCCCGCGUACCCUAUCGGGGACAUGGCCCUGCAUUGUCACCUCCCCAUUUUUACGACGAGGGCAGCCAUGGGCGAUUUUGGACACCGUCCCCACCACCGCACAGGCAGCACGGUGUCGAGCAGGAGCGGGGCUGGGCUGCCGUCCUGAGGCCAGGGAGGGAACGCGGACCCAGAGGGGGGGGCGUGCAUGGAGAGCACUGGAAUGGAGAGGGGGGUUUCGGUCACCCCCGCUCUGGGGAGCGAAGAUUGUCCCCUUGGCGGAAAUCCCAGGAGUUUCAUGGAAGAAGCUCAUUUCCUGAGAGGUGGUCUGCUGAGCGAGACGCUAUGACACGUGGCAGGAACGAAAUGGCGAGGGAUGGGGGCAGGCGGAGCACUGAGUGGGGACACAAGCCCAGCCCCCGUCGUCCCCCGGCAUCCCCGAAAUGGAGGCCAGCCCCUUCCUCUACAACCACUUCUGUGGCCGCCUCCUCUCCCCCCUCCUCGUCCUUACCCAGAUCCCGUCAUGCCCCCCAAGACAGGAUCUCCAGACCCUCAUUGAAGAGAAGAAACCCGGAUGAAGGAUCGGAGUUCGAGCACAUGGCCAAGCGAGCGUGCAGGGAGGUGUCACAGCGACCCGUGUCCUCCCGUGGAUUCGGUGGUCGGCCCCUCUCUCUGAAGGACAAGAGCCGGCUGGUGAAAGGAAGGAUGCUCAGGGCAACCUCAGAGCUGAGCACGGCACCAUGCCAUACGAAAGAGGAGGACAAGGCGCCAAAGCAGAGAAACCCCCCUGAGAAGGACAGGGCUAAGAAGAAGCCGCUGCCUGACAGGAAGGAAGCAUCUCAGGAGGUGGCUAAGGUCUGCACGCUGAAGAAACAAACCCUGAAGAAGGUCCCCCGCAAAUCACCAGUCCCAGAAGGUUCUGAUGGGCGGCCGAGGAGCACUGAGACGCUCACCAUCAAGGUGGACGCGCGCCACACCCUGAGCACCUACAGGUACGGUAUCUCCGUUAGAACCAGCGGGCAGGCCGCCAGCCCAUGCUUCACAGAUAAGUUGAAGCUUUUUCAUCUGUUCUUUAUCACGUAUCCCAAAACGAAGAGGGUACCCGCCCGGCAAAAUGCUCUAUUGAAAUGUCAGCCCCCCCAUAAAUCUGCAAGAGUCUGCCUGUCCUGCAUUCUGACGGCCUUUAAGCGUUUUGCCACGUUCCUGCUGAGGUCAUGUUCUCUGGGGAGUUACUUGAAUAUUGUCAGCGUUAUUGAGAAUCCCAUGAAGCCUUUCCCAGCGUUUCUUAGCCCGUGCCUGUAUGUUGUCCUGUCCACUACUACCUUGCACGUCACUGGAGUGGCUGAAGUACUCAGCCUUUCUCGCGUAACAGCGAGGGAAGUGCAGCAUUCCCAGAAAGUGUAGUGUGGUCCCAAGGAAGCCCUAAUAUGGGAGCCAGAAGAACAGGCCUCUAAGGUGGAUGAAGUUUAAAUCAAAGCUGAGGAGACUGUGAGGAGAAGUGGGAAAUCCUGGAUUUUACACAAACUGAAUGGUCUCCCAAACGUUGUGCUCGGUGCCCACCAGCUUGGCCCUUCAUAAGAGCACCUGGCUGGUUCUGAGGAUGGAGCUCUUACCGUUUGUCUCUGCAAAGCUGCACGGCUCGUGGACCCAGCUGUCUCCCCUGGACUUCAGUGGCGUCCAUGUCGGAAGAUUCAGCAAUCAACCCUCCGUGUAAUGGGCCGAAGAUGGGAUGCUGUGGAAUGGUCCAGUUCAGAAAAUUGUUGGAGUGCCGCAUAGCUUUGGUUCAAGACUCAACUCUUUCCUGCUACGUUCCUGUGGGUCUGAAAGGGUCUGAUGAUACAGCAUGAUUGGGUGUCUGCUGUUGACCUCUCUCCACUUACUACACAAAGGCAAAGGGGCUUUAGAGUAUCUGCACCAACAUUAAAGGCACUGCACCUGAGCAGCAUUGGUCCCUUAGCUACUUACCUACCUGAUUUAAUGGGAGAUCAACUUGUUUCCAACUCACCAAUACAAGGAGUUCUGCAAGAUGUCUAUGCCAAUUGGUCUUUGAGCAGUAGCAAUCGCUUGGCUUACAUCAGCCACUAUCAGCAAAGCGGGCCGGUGGGAGCCUGCUGGAUGUUGCCUAGGCAGUGAGUGUAAUUUGAAGUACGCUGCUAUAACUGGAACCAGGACAGCAGCUUCUGUUCCCCUACUGUGCCCCACAGAUGUAGCAUAAGGAGCCUUGGACCAGAGAAUGAGGACACUUCUCUGUGAGCCUGCUCACUGGAAUCUUUUGGAAUGUGGAAGAGAUCUGUAAGAAAACCUAUUGAUUAAGGUGCAUGGAAACACACCUGGUCAAAUAAUUAGAGCACAAUGCUGCUUAUCUUUAGGAUUUCAAAGGGAGCACGGCCACUGCAUAGCACUGAAUCCGGAUGGCUGGAUGUUCCUACCUUGCCCUUCCUUCACACUGAAAGAUUAAUAAAUGUAAAGAGGCGGAGUUCCUGUGUAGGAACUGCGAUGAAUCAUCGCAUCUUCUCAAUGAAUGUGGCAAAGGCGGUCUGACCGGUACGCAGCCAAUCUGCCCAUCUACUUGCUAAUGCAGGAAGUAGAGUAUAAAAUGGCCGUUUGCCAUCUUGAGCCUAGACAGGAUGCAUUAUGGGAUAUCUUGAGUGGCAAAGAGGAGUGUUAAGAUUUCAUAGGCAAGCUGGCUGCUUGCGUGUGUUUCUGCGUUUUGUACACAAGGCUACAUCCCACCAGCAAAUGGCAUCUUAAAGUCUCUUUCUACUCCCCGUCCCCAUCAGACAGGCAAAUUUCCCGGGACCUUGUUACUGUCUCGCAACGAGGCAUGGGGACCAUAACUGCUGUACGAACUAACGCCUCAUGGAGGGCACAGGAUUCCGACACAGGGAACUACUCCAGCCCU